CAUCCUUAUGAUCAAUGAAUAAUGUCAUGCAGUUUAAAAGUAGUGAACUGAUAUCCUUUGUUGAUUAAUCUAUUUUGUUAUG